UACGGAGGGUGCGAGCGUUGUCCGGAAUCACUGGGCGUAAAGGGCGCGUAGGUGGCCGAGCAAGGUCGCGGUGAAAGCCCGGGGCUCAACCCCGGGUCGGCCGUGGCAACUACUGGGCUGGAGCACUGUAGGGGCGGGUGGAAUUCCGGGUGUAGCGGUGGAAUGCGUAGAUAUCGGGGGGAAUACCAGUGGCGAAAGCGGCACCCUAGCGUUAGCCUGACGCUCAUGUGCGAAAGCGUGGGGAGCGAACGGG
rnacentral:rRNA from 1 species